rnacentral:tRNA from 3 species
GCCGAUGUAGCUCAAUUGGUAGAGCAACUGACUUGUAAUCAGUAGGUUGGAGGUUCGAGUCCUCUCAUCGGCACCA